CCGCGCCGCCACCCCAAGGCUCAAAGCUGCACCAUCAAGAUGACGUUGGCUGGCUCAUCCGCUGCUACCACAUCGGCAUCGAUACCUACUCCUUCCAAUGGCCGCGAUUUUCAGCCGCAUUCUCUCUAAUAUAUCCUACAUAUAUUGUUUAGAUUGAUUCAUGCGUUAAUUCAAUUCAAUCAUGUCUUGUUCUGUUCGUUUGCAGGCGAUGAGGUGAGCCUGCCAUUUGCUUCCUGCUUCCCUUCCAUACACAAAUAAUUGAGAUGGGAUAACGUAGAUCCAAUUCAAUAUACAAUAAUUUUCAAGAUAUUUAUGUCUGACCAUAUGGGACUGUGAAGACCCUAAAAGAAUUUUGCCUGCUGAGCUACUUGAAGACCAAAGCAAUUACACAUGGAACGUUUCGUAUAUGUACUUUACCUUGCCUAAUUUCAUUUGUUACAAUAGACUGUACUGUACUAGAAUUUCCAUUUUAUAUCACAUGGGUGGGGUUCUUUCAGCCAUAUCACGCCCUCUUAAGUGUGCCAGAUGGCUGGCUACCGGAAUAAUGUAAAUUUUGCCCUACCUUGAAGUUUAUCCUGUAUGUCGGUGAUAACGUGCGUCGUCAUCCUCUCCGGAGAAUGGUGCAUGAAGAUAUCUAAAAAUCUUCAUGCAUCAUCUGAUUCAAAUUUAUGUUUGUUUAAGUUUGCAUACUUUAUUUUUGAAACUCACUCAAUCGGGUAGCGCAUGUUAGCUAUUACAUCUGUUGUUCUUACAUUUCUUGGAAUUGCUUUGUUUUACUUGCCUUAGAUCAUUAUUUAUUAUAGUACUUCUAUAGUUAUUUUGGUGCAGGGUCUAUAACUUCCUUUAUUUUUUUCAUCAAUGCAGCUAUGAAUUACCAUUUGAUGUGAUGCUGACAAGUUAUGACAUAGCCUUAAUAAAUUAAGACUUUCCUUUCAGAAAUUCCCUGGCUCUAUGGUGAUUGAUGAGGCCAAGGGUCUUAAAAAUCCAUCAAUUCUAUGUGAAACUGCUGCUUUGUUUCUAAAAUGAAUCACUUCUUAACCGGGGACUUGCAUGACUCUGAUUACAACACUUAUUCUGCAUUUUCUUCAGGUACUGUAUAGUGUCUUAAAGGCCAUUUUACGAUGACAAGGUGUCUACCACUAGAAGGCAUUCCUAUCCAGAACAAACUUUCUGAACUAUGGGCAUAGAUGCCCUUCUACAUGCUAUCCGUUGUCGGGCCACUCGAUGAGCUUCUUUCUAUUUGCAAGGAAGCAGGUGAUUUGCGAGCAAAAAGAUAAUGAAGUGAAUAAGGAAAGGGCUGAGGAGCACAAGGAACAAACCUCAGUAUAAUAUAUAAUGAAGACGGGAUAGGAGGAGCAAUGACAUCCUCCAAGCUAACAAGCGUCAAGCAUCCAAUGGACUUUUCAUGUUCUAAAGAAGCUCAAUAAUGGCAUAUAUACUUGUAUACCAAGCUAGAGCACAUUUGAGUUGGACAAUCCGGUGGACAAUGGCAUGAGGAAGCCACAUGAUUUAGGCGAAGCGUAACGGACGGACUCUCAUCCUACCAUCGUCACACAAGCUUGUACUACUACAUCAAAUGGGCAAUAUAUAUGAAAACUAUUACAUGAGACAGUUUCCAAGUGAAAUAUUAAUCAACAAGAUGUAAUUGUUCCUGGCAACGACAAAUGGGAAUACAGAGCAAGAUCUGCUCACCGAAUAUAAGGGAUUAACAUGUUGCUUUCUUCUCAGAGAGAGAUAUUUUUGUAAAAAAAGAUUGAUAGAGCUAGGAACAAUAUAAUCCAAGCCAUCUCUUAGCUGCUUUGUGAUGCUCCAAGCAACGCGCUUGAUUGUGAAAC